AUGGACAAGCUGCUGGCCUUCUCUAUCCUGAGCGCCUCGCCGGCCGACAUCGCCCCCGGCGCCGGCGGCAGCUGGGCUCGGGUCUCCUGGCGGGGGAGGAAGCUGCAGGACGACGACAGGGCUGGAGCAGCAGGGAAAGAGGGGAAGCAGGGCGGUCUGCCGGUGGAGUCAGAGGGCCGGACAAAAGGGAAAUCGCAGUCACCGUUGCGUCCGCGGUUCGCGCCGGAGUUCGAUGGAACCGACUGCUUCCAGUGCCAUUGA
rnacentral:rRNA from 1 species